UACGUAGGGUGCGAGCGUUAAUUGGAAUUACUGGGCGUAAAGCGUGCGCAGGCGGUUUUGUAAGACAGAUGUGAAAUCCCCGGGCUUAACUUGGGAACUGCGUUUGUGACUGCAAGACUAGAGUGUGGCAGAGGGGGGUAGAAUUCCACGUGUAGCAGUGAAAUGCGUAGAGAUGUGGAGGAAUACCGAUGGCGAAGGCAGUCCCCUGGGUCAACACUGACGCUCAUGCACGAAAGCGUGGGGAGCAAACAGG
rnacentral:rRNA from 1 species